ensembl:lncRNA
AUCACAUCUUAAGGGCUGAUUGUCCACCAGGAAUUUGACUGACAGACCCCGACCACGGAGAUUGUUUGCUCUGCACCACAGCCUUUCUGCUUCGUGCUAAGCUUUUAGUACCUCAUGUGGCUGGGACCGAGCUUCUACAACAGCUGCUCUGUGAAUGGAGGAAGUGGUGCUCUUGGUGUCUCUACAUCUAUAAGAAAAGCAUACGUAUCCGUCUCCUUUUCAUGUUGCUUCAGGGCUGGAGGCACCUAACAGCAAGUUAUUUUGACCAAAAAAGAAAAAAAAAUAGAGAGCGAGAGAAGAAAAACACAGGUAAAUUACAAACCACCUAGGGGCA